GACAGAGGUGCCGAGCGUUAGGCGGAAUCACUGGGCUUAAAGCGUGUGUAGGCGGGCGGGCAAGUACCUUGUGAAAUCCCACGGCUCAACCGUGGAACGGCUGGGUAUACUGCCUGUCUUGAGCCAACUAGGGGCGAGCGGAACAGACGGUGGAGCGGUGAAAUGCGUAGAUAUCGUCUGGAACGCCAAAGGUGUAAACAGCUCGCUGGGGUUGUGCUGACGCUGAGACACGAAAGCCAGGGGAGCGAACAGG
rnacentral:rRNA from 1 species